rnacentral:rRNA from 1 species
CCUACGGGAGGCAGCAGUAGGGAAUAUUGCACAAUGGGCGAAAGCCUGAUGCAGCAACGCCGCGUGCGGGAAGAAGGCCCUAGGGUUGUAAACCGCUUUCAGCAGGGAAGAAAAUGACGGUACCUGCAGAAGAAGGUGCGGCCAACUACGUGCCAGCAGCCGCGGUGACACGUAGGCACCAAGCGUUGUUUGGAUUUAUUGGGCGUAAAGAGCUCGUAGGCGGUUCAGUUAGUCGGGUGUGAAAACUCUGGGCUCAACCCAGAGACGCCACUCGAUACUGCUGUGACUAGAGUGCGGUAGGGGAGCGGGGAAUUCCUAGUGUAGCGGUGAAAUGCGCAGAUAUUAGGAGGAACACCAGUGGCGAAGGCGCCGCUCUGGGCCGUAACUGACGCUGAGGAGCGAAAGCGUGGGUAGCAAACAGGAUUAGAUACCCUGGUAGUCCACGCCGUAAACGUUGGGCACUAGGUGUGGGUCUCAACCAACGAGAUCCGCGCCGUCGCUAACGCAUUAAGUGCCCCGCCUGGGGAGUACGGCCGCAAGGCUAAAACUCAAAGGAAUUGACGG